UAUGAAGGGUGCAAGCGUUAAUCGGAAUUACUGGGCGUAAAGGGUGCGUAGGCGGUUCGUUAAGUCUGUCGUGAAAUCCCCGGGCUCAACCUGGGAAUGGCGAUGGAUACUGGCGAGCUAGAGUGUGUCAGAGGAUGGUGGAAUUCCCGGUGUAGCGGUGAAAUGCGUAGAGAUCGGGAGGAACAUCAGUGGCGAAGGCGGCCAUCUGGGACAACACUGACGCUGAGGCACGAAAGCGUGGGGAGCAAACAGG
rnacentral:rRNA from 1 species